AACGAACGCUGGCGGCAUGCCUAACACAUGCAAGUCGAACGAGACCUUCGGGUCUAGUGGCGCACGGGUGCGUAACGCGUGGGAACCUGCCCUUAGGUUCGGAAUAACUCCCCGAAAGGGGUGCUAAUACCGGAUAAUGUCUUCGGACCAAAGAUUUAUCGCCUUUGGAUGGGCCCGCGUUGGAUUAGCUAGUUGGUAGGUUAAAAGCCUACCAAGGCGACGAUCCAUAGCUGGGCUGAGAGGAUGAUCAGCCACACUGGGACUGAGACACGGCCCAGACUCCUACGGAAGGCAGCAGUGGGGAAUAUUGGAAAAUGGGCGAAAGCCUGAUCCAGCAAUGCCGCGUGAGUGAUGAAGGCCUUAGGGUUGUAAAGCUCUUGUACCCGGGAUGAUAAUGACAGUACCGGGAGAAUAAGCUCCGGCUAACUCCGUG
rnacentral:rRNA from 1 species